rnacentral:rRNA from 1 species
UACGAAGGGUGCAAACGUUGCUCGGAAUUAUUGGGCGUAAAGCGCACGUAGGCGGCAUUGCAAGUCGGAUGUGAAAUCCCUCGGCUUAACCAAGGAAGUGCAUCCGAAACUGCAGUGCUUGAGUACUUAAGAGGAUCGCGGAAUUCCCGGUGUAGAGGUGAAAUUCGUAGAUAUUGGGAAGAACACCGGUGGCGAAGGCGACCAACUGGUCCGACAUUGACACUGAGGCACGAAAAGCGUGGGGUAGCAAACAGG